GUGAUUUGCCAUUUCCAUCUUCAGCUCAUUUAUAGAGGAGGAAAUGAAGGCAAACAGGGCUAAAUGACUUAUUAAGGGUCAUACCUCAUACUAGUACGUGUCUGAGGCCAGAUUUGAACUCAGGAAAAAGAAAUGAUGUUCUGUAAUGCAGUGCCAAAAAAAGUACAAUAUCUCUUCUUGUUUUAACAUUCUCUUGCCAGAUUCUUGAAUUUCUGAGCAAGAAGGGAAAUCAGAGCGCAUCUUGUUCCAUUUUACAUAGAAAAGAAUCUUCUUUAAAAUAUAGUAAACAAAUAUGGAUAUUGUCUCCAACUGCACAAUAAGAAGUAUGGAAUAACUGAAGAAACUUAUCCAAAUGACCUCACCCUUUCCAGUGGCUAUCUGGAUGAGACAUUAACAUGCCUGAUGUAAGCCUUGGUAAACACAAAGUUGUCAAUCUACUUCGGUCCAAUAGGAUGAAUUCAGAGCCUAAAGUAGAAUGACAGCAAUCCCUUCCAGGGAAUGAGAGUGCUCAGGAAGUAGACUUCAAUGUUUCCAACUCAGAUUCCUGGAAGAGUCAUUUUAAUAAUCAAAAUGU
rnacentral:lncRNA from 1 species